AGAGUUUGAUCAUGGCUCAGGACAAACGCUGGCGGCGUGCCUAACACAUGCAAGUCGAACGGAGUUGCGGUUUCGGCCGUAACUGAGUGGCGGACGGGUGAGUAACACGUGGAUGACGUACCCUGGUGUGGGGGAUACCCUCCAGAAAUGGAGGCUAAUACCGCAUACGGUCCAUCAGAUCAAGCUGGUGGAAGAAAGCC
rnacentral:rRNA from 1 species